AUUUAACGCUGGCGGCAGGCCUAACACAUGCAAGUCGAUCUAGUGGCGGACGGUUGAGUAAUGUCUGGGAAUCUGCCCGAUAUCGGGGGAUAACUACUGGAAACGGUAGCUAAUACCGCAUACCCUCGCAUGUGCCCACAUGGGAUUAGCUAGAAGGUGGGGUAACGGCUCACCUAGGCGACGAUCCCUAGCUGGUCUGUGAGGAUGACGAGCGUGACUGGAACUGAGAAACGGACCAGACUCCUACGGGAGGCGUCAGUGGGGAAGAUUGCAAAAUGGGAGCAAGCCUGAUGCAGCCAUGCAGCGUGUAUGAAGAAGGCCUUCGGAUUGUAAAGUACUUUCAGCGGGGAGGCAUUACCCGCAGAAGAAGCACCGGCUAACUCCGUGCCAGCAGCCGAGGUAAUAC
rnacentral:rRNA from 1 species